rnacentral:rRNA from 1 species
UACGAAGGGUGCUAGCGUUGCUCGGAAUCACUGGGCGUAAAGGGUGCGUAGGCGGGUCUUUAAGUCCGGGGUGAAAUCCUGGAGCUCAACUCCAGAACUGCCUUUGAUACUGAAGAUCUUGAGUUCGGGAGAGGUGAGUGGAACUGCGAGUGUAGAGGUGAAAUUCGUAGAUAUUCGCAAGAACACCAGUGGCGAAGGCGGCUCACUGGCCCGAUACUGACGCUGAGGCACGAAAGCGUGGGGAGCAAACAGG